rnacentral:lncRNA from 1 species
UGAAGUCUGAAGCUGGCAUGUCAGUUAACUGCUAGUAGUCUGUUGUUAUUUAUGUAUUAUUGUCAUUUUGUUUAUUUUCUUUGGUUACAUCUUCUGACAUCAGACUCGGACUUCUCUUGAACUGAAUUUUAAUUUGCGUAUUGUUAUGCGUUUACUUUUCUACAUUGGCUAGAGGUAUAGGGGAGGGUUGAGAUCUCACAAACAUGUUUAAUCCCGCCGCAUUUUUGCGCCUGUCCCA